CGACGCCUUGCCCUCGGCGGUGAGGUUCUUGAACUUGGGCAUGAAGGCCUUGACGGCGGCGUCGCCGGGGCAGAAGACGGUCAGGCCGCCGUCGACGGUGGCGUCGAAGGUCUUCUCGACGUCGGGGUCGGCGAGAAGGAGGUCGGCGAAGGCCUUGCAGCCCUUCUUGGACAUGAGGUCGGUGAGGUUCACCGGCGCCGGAGGCGGGACGGGCGCCUCGGCCUCCGGCGAGGUGAGGACGGCAUUGAUCUCGAUGACGGAGAGGUCGUAGGGCAUUUCUUUGACGGACUUAACGAAACUGGCUGGAGCUGUGCUGUCGCCGGCGUCCUGGGCGAUGAAGGUGACCUUGCCGGCUCGAUGGUCGGUGAUGUUGACGUAGCCCGAGGUUCCAGGGGCGUCGCCGGUGGCCUGGAACAUGGAGGAGGCGACG
rnacentral:lncRNA from 1 species